UACGAAGGGUGCAAGCGUUACUCGGAAUUACUGGGCGUAAAGCGUGCGUAGGUGGUGAGUUAAGUCUGUCGUGAAAGCCCCGGGCUCAACCUGGGAAUGGCGAUGGAUACUGGCUCGCUAGAGUGCGGUAGAGGAGAGUGGAAUUCCCGGUGUAGCAGUGAAAUUCGUAGAUAUCGGGAGGAACACCAGUGGCGAAGGCGGCGAUCUGGGUCGAUACUGACGCUGAGGUGCGAAAGCGUGGGGAGCAAACAGG
rnacentral:rRNA from 1 species